UGUUUUUAUAGUCAACCCAUUCUCGAGGCAUACAAAAUGUGGAAGGAGUAUAAAAUUGUCAUUUGUUUCGCAAUGUUUGCACUUUUUGGAGUUACAUUAGCGCGCUCGGAGCCACAGAUUCAAGCAAAAUUCAUUGAGCUGCAACAUACGUUGAGAGAGUUAACUACUUCUGUACUGAAACUGAACCCGAGUGGUGAAAAUACAUCAGAAAAUGAUAAUAAAAAUCCGAUGGACUUUGAAGACUUUAAAC